rnacentral:rRNA from 1 species
GACGAACGCUGGCGGCGUGCUUAACACAUGCAAGUCGAACGGAAAGGCCCUGCUCUUGUGGGGUGCUCGAGUGGCGCACGGGUGAGUAAAACGCGAGUAACAUGUCCUUGACUUUGGGAUAACUUCAGGAAACUGGGGAUAAUACAGGAUAGGAGAUCCUGCUGCAUGGUGGGGGUUGGAAAGUUUCGGCGGUUGGGGAUGGACUCGCGGCUUAUCAGCUUGUUGGUGAGGUAGUGGCUUACCAAGGCUUUGACGGGUAGCCGGCCUGAGAGGGGGACCGGCCACAUUGGGACUAAGGGACGGCCCAGACUCCUACGUGAGGCAGCAGUGGGAAAUAUGGCACAAUGGGCGGAAGCCUGAUGCAGCAACGCCGCGAGCGUGAUAACGGCCUUCGGGUUGUAAACCACUUUCGCCGGUGACGAAGCGGGAUUGACGGUAAUGGGUAAGGAAGCACCGGCUAACUACGUG